rnacentral:antisense_RNA from 1 species
CGCCCCCUUCUCGCGCGUGAGCGCGCCCUAUCGGCUCCCGGCGCGUCAACAUUCCGCGGGCCAGGCCUUGGGGUGCGUCUGAGGAGGGGGAUGUCUGUGGCCUCUCCGCCCACACUUCCUCCACCCACCGCCCGCAGCGCCCCAGAAGGACCUAUUACUCGUUUGGCUUCUGAAGGCCGAAGCCAGGCUCUGGCGGGGAUAGAACCCUGAAGGGCCUGCGCCAGCUCCAACUUAGGGCCCUUAUCUUUUGCUGCCUCUUAUGUAUUGUAGGCAGUGCCUGAUGGCUGAGAAGAAUCGCAGAGGACUAGAAAAGGUUUGAGUCUGAAAUUAUCUGGCACAGAGGAUUAGAGCUCAGAAAUAAGUGAUUGCGAAACAGUUCAACUUCCCUGUUAAUGACAACAACAACAACAGCAACACGCUUAUUAAUUCCUAGCUGGAGCAUCAAGCUUAUGAAGAUUUCCAAGUAAGACUUUAUUGUUGACCCUUGUUGAAGAGAACUCUACUUGGCUUCUUUCCUGGCUUUCCUAAAUUGUUCACAUACAAGAUAAACUACCGUCAUUCAGACUUACAGAAGUGAGAAGACAAGCUGAACCAAAUGUAAAAUGGUAGCAAUUUACAGAUGUCAGAACUAACAUGUGGAUGAACUUAGAGAUGGAGAAGAAAGCUGGGCUUUUCCAAAGAGUGGAUCUAUCUGAACUGGAUAGCACUAUUGAACUUUGUUGCAUAUUUUGUGGUAGCUCUAAAACUCCUCUGCUUGCUUACAUACAACCAGACACCAGUGCCUUCUGAAGCUAAUCCAGGCCAUUUUUAUAACCUAAUGCAGUAGCACUUUGCAAUUAGAUGAAGAAGAUCGGUGGGAUUUCUUUCUGUGGUGAUUAAAAUGUGUCAGGGGAAGAAAUCAAGACAAUACUCCAAGUGAAAAAUAUAAAGUCAGUUAUUUCUUUAA